AUGCAACCUACCUUCAACAGGAGAAUAACCCGUCGAAAGACGGACUAAUACUCCAUAACACAGGGAUCCCGCAUGGGAAUAUUUGUUAAAGAUUUAUCGGUUGAAGAUGGGCAUGCGCUCCAUAGCUAGUUGGUGAGGUAACGGCUCACCAAGGCAACGAUGGAUAGGGGAACUGAGAGGUUUAUCCCCCACACUGGUACUGAGACACGGACCAGACUCCUACGGGAGGCAGCAGUGAGGAAUAUUGGUCAAUGGAGGCAACUCUGAACCAGCCAUGUCGCGUGAAGGAUGACGGCCCUACGGGUUGUAAACUUCUUUUGUAAGGGAAUAAAGUUAGUUACGUGUAACUAUUUGCAUGUACCUUACGAAUAAGGAUCGGCUAACUCCGUGCCAGCAGCCGCGGUAAUACGGAGGAUCCAAGCGUUAUCCGGAUUUAUUGGGUUUAAAGGGUGCGUAGGCGGAAGAUUAAGUCGGUGGUGAAAUUUUGCAGCUCAACUGUAAAAGUGCCAUUGAUACUGGUUUUCUUGAGUAUGGAUGAAGUAGGCGGAAUUUGUGGUGUAGCGGUGAAAUGCAUAGAUAUCACGAGGAACUCCAAUUGCGCAGGCAGCUUACUAAACCAUAACUGACGCUCAGGCACGAAGGCGUGGGGAUCAAACAGGAUUAGAUACCCUGGUAGUCCACGCAGUAAACUAUGAUUACUCGCUGUUUGCGAUACACAGCAAGCGGCUUAGCGAAAGCGUUAAGUAAUCCACCUGGGGAGUACGUUCGCAAGAAUGAAACUCAAAGGAAUUGACGG
rnacentral:rRNA from 1 species